rnacentral:misc_RNA from 2 species
UAGAGUUUUCAAAACUCCCAACCCAUGUGAACUUACUUAUGUUGCCUCGGCGGGAGCCUACCCUAUACCUACCCUGUAACGGGGUACCCGGGAACGGCCCCGCCGGUGGACUUUUUAACUCUUGUUAUUUUAUGUAAUCUGAGAGUCUUAUUUUAAAUAAGUCA